GAUGAACGCUGGCGGCGUGCCUAAUACAUGCAAGUCGAGCGAACAGACGAGGAGCUUGCCUCUCUGACGUUAGCGGCGGACGGGUGAGUAACACGUGGAUAACCUACCUAUAAGACUGGGAUAACUUCGGGAAACCGGAGCCAAUACCGGAUCAUAUAUUGAACGGCAUGGUUCUAUAGUGCAAGCGGGAUUUGAUGUCACUUAUAGAUGGAUCCGCGCCGCAUUAGCUAGUUGGUAAGGUAACGGCUUACCAAGGCAACGAUGCGUAGCCGAUCUGAGAGGGUGAUCGGCCACACUGGAACUGAGACACGGUCCAGACUCCUACGGGAGGCAGCAGUAGGGAAUCUUCCGCAAAGGGCGAAAGCUUGACCGAGCAACGCCGCGUGAGUGAUGAAGGUCUUCGGAUCGUAAAACUCUGUUAUUAGGGAAGAACAAAUGUGUAAUUAACUAUGCACGUCUUGACGGUACCUAAUCAGAAAGCCACGGCUAACUUCGUG
rnacentral:rRNA from 1 species